UACAGAGGUCCCGAGCGUUGUUCGGAUUCACUGGGCGUAAAGGGUGCGUAGGUGGCUUAGAAAGUUUGAUGUGAAAGCUCAGGGCUUAACCCUGAAAUGGCAUUGAAUACUGCUGUGCUGGAGGUUUGGAGGGGGGACUGGAAUUCUUGGUGUAGCAGUGAAAUGCGUAGAUAUCAAGAGGAACACCAGUGGCGAAGGCGAGUCCCUGGACAACACCUGACACUGAGGCACGAAAGCUAGGGGAGCAAACAGG
rnacentral:rRNA from 1 species